rnacentral:rRNA from 1 species
UACAGAGGGUGCAAGCGUUAAUCGGAAUUACUGGGCGUAAAGCGUGCGUAGUCGGUUAUUUAAGUCGGGUGUGAAAUCCCCGGGCUCAACCCGGGAACUGCGUCCGAUACUGGCAGGCUUGAAUCCGGGAGAGGGAUGCGGAAUUCCAGGUGUAGCGGUGAAAUGCGUAGAUAUCUGGAGGAACACCGGUGGCGAAGGCGGCUUUCUGGUCUGUAACUGACGCUGAGGCGCGAAAGCGUGGGGAGCAAACAGG